rnacentral:rRNA from 1 species
GAUGAACGCUGGCGGCGUGCCUAAUACAUGCAAGUCGAGCGAACGGACGAGAAGCUUGCUUCUCUGAUGUUAGCGGCAGACGGGUGAGUAACACGUGGAUAACCUACCUAUAAGACUGGGAUAACUUCGGGAAACCGGAGCUAAUACCGGAUAAUAUUUUGAACCGCAUGGUUCAAAAGUGAAAGACGGUCUUGCUGUCACUUAUAGAUGGAUCCGCGCUGCAUUAGCUAGUUGGUAAGGUAACGGCUUACCAAGGCAACGAUGCAUAGCCGACCUGAGAGGGUGAUCGGCCACACUGGAACUGAGACACGGUCCAGACUCCUACGGGAGGCAGCAGUAGGGAAUCUUCCGCAAUGGGCGAAAGCCUGACGGAGCAACGCCGCGUGAGUGAUGAAGGUCUUCGGAUCGUAAAACUCUGUUAUUAGGGAAGAACAUAUGUGUAAGUAACUGUGCACAUCUUGACGGUACCUAAUCAGAAGGCCACGGCUAACUACGUG